UACGAGAGGCCCAAACGUUAUUCGGAUUUACUGGGCUUAAAGAGUUCGUAGGCGGCGCAGAAAGUAGGGUGUGAAAGCCCUCGGCCUAACCGAGGAAUUGCGCUCUAAACUACUGUGCUUGAGGAAUCUAGAGGUGAGCGGAACUGAUGGUGGAGCGGUGAAAUGCGCAGAUAUCAGGAGGAACACCGAUUGCGAAGGCAGCUCGCUGGGACGUCACUGACGCUGAGACGCGAAAGCGUGGGGAGCAAACAGG
rnacentral:rRNA from 1 species